rnacentral:rRNA from 1 species
GCUCCCAUUGUUUAGCGGCGGACGGGUGAGUAACACGUGGGCAACCUGCCCUGCAGAUCGGGAUAACUCCGGGAAACCGGUGCUAAUACCGAAUAGUUUGCGGCCUCUCCUGAGGCUGCACGGAAAGACGGUUUCGGCUGUCACUGCAGGAUGGGCCCGCGGCGCAUUAGCUAGUUGGUGGGGUAAUGGCCUACCAAGGCGACGAUGCGUAGCCGACCUGAGAGGGUGAUCGGCCACACUGGGACUGAGACACGGCCCAGACUCCUACGGGAGGCAGCAGUAGGGAAUCUUCCGCAAUGGACGAAAGUCUGACGGAGCAACGCCGCGUGAGUGACGAAGGUUUUCGGAUCGUAAAACUCUGUUGUGAGGGAAGAACAAGUACCAAGUAACUACUGGUACCUUGACGGUACCUCACCAGAAAGCCACGGCUAACUACGUGCCAGCAGCCGCGGUAAUACGUAGGUGGCAAGCGUUGUCCGGAAUUAUUGGGCGUAAAGCGCGCGCAGGCGGUUCUUUAAGUCUGAUGUGAAAGCCCACGGCUCAACCGUGGAGGGUCAUUGGAAACUGGAGAACUUGAGUGCAGAAGAGGAAAGUGGAAU